CACACACACAGACACACAGAGACCGCUCCUGCACACACACAGAGACUGCCCCUGCACACACACACAGAGACUGCCCCUGCACACACACACACACAGAGGCUGCCCCUGCACACACACAGACCGCUCCUGCACACAGACACACAGAGACCGCUCCUGCACACACACGGAGACUGCCCCUGCACACACACAGAGACUGCCCCUACACACACACACACAGACUGCCCCUGCACACACACACACACAGAAACUGCCCCUGCACACACACAGAUUGCUCCUGCACACACACACACACACACACAGACUGCCCCUGCACACACACACAGAGACUGCCCCUGCACACAGACACACAGAGACCGCUCCUGCACACACACAUGGAGACUGCCCCUGCACACACACGGAGACUGCCUCUGCACACACACAGAGACUGCCCCUACACACACACACAGACUGCCCCUGCACACACACACACACAGAAACUGCCCCUGCACACACACACAUUGCUCCUGCACACACACACACACACACACACACACACACACAGAGACUGCUCCUGCACACACAUACAGAGACUGCCCCUGC
rnacentral:lncRNA from 1 species